rnacentral:rRNA from 1 species
GACGAACGCUGGCGGCGUGCCUAAUACAUGCAAGUCGAACGAGAGCGACCGGUGCUUGCACUGGUCAAUCUAGUGGCGAACGGGUGAGUAACACGUGGGUAACCUGCCCAUCAGAGGGGGAUAACAUCCGGAAACGGAUGCUAAAACCGCAUAGGUCUUCGAGCCGCAUGGCUUGAAGAGGAAAAGAGGCGCAAGCUUCUGCUGAUGGAUGGACCCGCGGUGCAUUAGCUAGUUGGUGAGGUAACGGCUCACCAAGGCCGUGAUGCAUAGCCGACCUGAGAGGGUGAUCGGCCACAUUGGGACUGAGACACGGCCCAAACUCCUACGGGAGGCAGCAGUAGGGAAUCUUCCGCAAUGGACGCAAGUCUGACGGAGCAACGCCGCGUGAGUGAAGAAGGUUUUCGGAUCGUAAAACGCUGUUGCUAGAGAAGAACAAGUGCUAGAGUAACUGUUAGCGCCUUGACGGUAUCUAACCAGAAAGCCACGGCUAACUACGU